UGGUAUGACGCUACGUCCGUUGGAUUAUGCCUGAACGCCUCUAAGGUCGUAUCUGUGCUGGACUGCAAUGAUAAAUAAGGGGCAAUUUGCAUUGUAUGGCUUCUAAACCAUUAAAAGUUUUUAAUUUGUUUUAUUAACGACAAUGGAUGUGAUGCCAAUGUUAUUUAUAACAUAGUAAAUUGGGAGGAUCUUCGAUCACCUGAUGCCGCGCUAGUUAUAUUUUAAAACAUUAUUUAAUACAAUGUCAAAGCCUAGAAUCAAUUGUAAACGACUUUUGUAACAGGCAAGGUGUUGUAAGUGGUUGAGCAGCUGCCAUACUGCGAUCCACUGAAGCUUAUCCUUUGCUUGAUGAUUCGA
rnacentral:ncRNA from 1 species